AUCGUGAGGCUGGAUUUCAGGAUUCAGUAUCACAUCAUGAGGCAAUGCUUCAGGAUUCAUCACUGCAUCGUGAGGAUGUGGUUCAGGUAUUCCCUCCUCAUUAGGCUCAGCUUCAGGACUCAUCUUCUCAUACUUAGGCUUGGCUUCAGGACUCAUCUUCUCAUACUUAGGCUGUACUUCAGAAGUCAUUUUCACCUCAUUAGGCUGUUCUUCAUAAGUGAUUUUUCCAUCAUGAGGUUGUGCUCCAUAAAUGGUGUUUCCUUCAUUAGGUUGAGGUUCCUGAG
rnacentral:lncRNA from 1 species